rnacentral:rRNA from 1 species
AGCGGAGCGUGUGAUUUAAUUCGAGGCUACGCGAAGAACCUUACCUGGGAAUGACAUGUUGGUAGUACGGAAGCGAAAGCGGAAGGACCCUUCGGGGAGCCAGCACAGGUGCUGCAUGGUUGUCGUCAGCUCGUGCCGUGAGGUGUUCGGUUAAGUCCGCAAACGAGCGCAACCCUCGGUGCUAGUUAUACGUGUCUAGCAUGACUGCCCGUGACAAACGGGAGGAAGGUGGGGAUGACGUCAAAUCAGCAUGGCCUUAAUAUCCAGGCGACACAC